rnacentral:tRNA from 1 species
GCCUUCAUAGCUCAGUAGGUAGAGCGCAUCCAUGGUAAGGAUGAGGUCGCCGGUUCGAAUCCGGCCAUCAGCUCCA